rnacentral:rRNA from 1 species
UAAGGAAUUUUGCACAAUGGGGGAAACCCUGAUGCAGCAACGCCGCGUGAAGGAUGAAGGCAUUUUUGUUGUAAACUUCUUUUCUGAGGGAAUAAAUAUGAAUGUACCUCAGGAAUAAGCACCGGCUAACUACGUGCCAGCAGCCGCGGUAAGACGUAGGGUGCAAGCGUUAUCCGGAAUUAUUGGGCGUAAAGAGUCCGUAGGUGUUUUGUUAAGUAUAACAUUAAAGACCAAAGCUUAACUUUGGGAGGGUGUUGUAGACUGGCAGAAUAGAGUUGUGUAGAGGCAAGUGGAAUUCUGUGCGUAGGGGUAAUAUCCGUAGAUAUGCAGAGGAACACCAAAAACGAAAGCAUCUUGCUGGACAUACACUGACACUCAAGGACGAAAGCGUGGGGAGCAAACAGG